rnacentral:rRNA from 1 species
AGUGAACGCUGGCGGUCUUCCUCCCACCUUCAAUUCGAACGUCAGCACAUUAAGAUCUUUCUCUUACUGGUGGCUAGUGGCGGACGGUUGAGGAAUACAUCUUAAUCUACUUUUUCGUGGGGGAUAACUUCGGGAAACUUACGCUAAUACCUCAUACGACCUACGUUUGAAAGCAGGGGAUCUUCUGACCUUGCUCGAUUGAAUGAGCCGAUGUCGGAUUAGCUAGUUGGCGGGGUAAAGGCCCACCAAGUCUCCUCUCCGUAGCUGGUCUGAGAGGAGGAGAGGCAACAGUGGAACUUAGAAACGGUCCAGACUCCUACGGGAGGCAGCAGUGGGGAAUAUUGGACAAUGGGCGCAAGCCUGAUCCAGCCAUACCGAGUGGGUGAAGAAGGCCUUCGGGUUGUAAAGAAAGUGGGUUGGGAAAGAAAAGCAGCAGGUGAAUACAAAGCUGUUCUGACGGUACCCAAAGAAUAAGCAAAGGCUAAAUUCGGG